rnacentral:rRNA from 1 species
AUAACGGUCCUAAGGUAGCGAAAUUCCUUGUCGGGUAAGUUCCGACCCGCACGAAAGGCGUAAUGAUUUGAGCACUGUCUCGACAAUGCAUCCGGUGAAAUUGAAGUACCAGUGAAGAUGCUGGUUACCUGCGCCAGGACGGAAAGACCCCAUGGAGCUUUACUCCAGUUUGAUACUGGGAUUCGGUACUGCAUGUACAGGAUAGGUGGGAGACGAAGAAGGAUGGACGCCAGUCUGUCCGGAGUCGCUGUUGGGAUACCACCCCUGUAGUACUGGGUUUCUAACCAGUUGCCAUGAACUGGCAAUGGGACAAUGUCAGGCGGGGAGUUUGACUGGGGCGGUCGCCUCCGAAAGGGUAUCGGAGGCGCUCAAAGGUUCCCUCAGAAUGGUUGGAAACCAUUCGAAGAGUGCAAAGGCAGAAGGGAGCUUGACUGCGACACCGACGGGUGGAGCAGGUACGAAAGUAGGACUUAGUGAUCCGGUGGUAUAAAGUGGGAUUGCCAUCGCUCAACGGAUAAAAGCUACCCUGGGGAUAACAGGCUUAUCACUCCCAAGAGUUCACAUCGACGGAGUGGUUUGGCACCUCGAUGUCGGCUCAUCGCAUCCUGGGGCUGUAGCAGGUCCCAAGGGUUGGGCUGUUCGCCCAUUAAAGCGGUACGCGAGCUGGGUUCAGAACGUCGUGAGACAGUUCGGUCCCUAUCCGGCGUGGGCGUAGGAUAUUUGAGAGGAGCUGUCCUUAGUACGAGAGGACCGGGAUGGACGGACCGCUGGUGUAUCUGUUGUUGACCAACAGCAUGGCAGAGUAGCCAAGUCCGGCAGGGAUAAACGCUGAAGGCAUCUAAGCGUGAAGCCCCCCUCAAGAUUAGAUAUCCCAUUCUUUAAAGAAAUAAGACCCCUUGAAGACUACGAGGUUGAUAGGUCUGAGGUGUAAGUGCGGUAACGCAUUCAGCUGACAGAUACUAAUAGGUCGAAGACUUAUCCUG